rfam:Triticum urartu cultivar G1812 contig614202, whole genome shotgun sequence.
UCAUCUAUCCAUGACCAGGAUGAAGCUUGGAUGAAGCUAAGAAGAGGUCCGAAUCGACUGAUGUUGAAGAAUCAGUGGAUGGGUUGUGGUUAGGGGUGAAAUGCCACUCGAA